GACGAACGCUGGCGGCACGCCUAACACAUGCAAGUCGAACGGAGAAAAUAGCUUCGGUUGUUUUCUUAGUGGCGGACGGGUGAGUAACACGUGAGGAACCUGCCUUUGAGAGUGGGAUAGCUUCUGGAAACGGAUGGUAAUACCGCAUAACAUAGCGAAACCGCAUGAUUUUGCUAUCAAAGUAUUUCGCUCAGAGAUGGCCUCGCGUCUGAUUAGAUAGUUGGUGAGGUAACGGCUCACCAAGUCGACGAUCAGUAGCCGGACUGAGAGGUUGAACGGCCACAUUGGGACUGAGACACGGCCCAGACUCCUACGGGAGGCAGCAGUGGGGGAUAUUGCACAAUGGGGGAAACCCUGAUGCAGCGAUGCCCGUGGAGGAAGAAGGUUUUCGGAUUGUAAACUCCUGUCGUAAGGGAAGAGGAAGGACUGUACCUUACAAGAAAGUUCCGGCUAACUACGUGCCAGCAGCCGCGGUAAUACGUAGGGAGCGAGCGUUGUCCGGAAUGACUGGGUGUAAAGGGAGCGUAGGCGGGAUGGCAAGUCAGAUGUGAAACCUGAGGGCUCAACCUUCAGACUGCAUUUGAAACUGCUGUUCUUGAGUGAAGUAGAGGUAAGCGGAAUUCCUGGUGUAGCGGUGAAAUGCGUAGAGAUCAGGAGGAACAUCGGUGGCGAAGGCGGCUUACUGGGCUUUUACUGACGCUGAGGCUCGAAAGCGUGGGGAGCAAACAGGAUUAGAUACCCUGGUAGUCCACGCUGUAAACGAUGAUUACUAGGUGUGGGGGGGGGGCCCCCCUCCCUGCCGGCAGGUAUCACACUAAGUUAUCCCCCUGGGGGGUACGUCCGCACGGUUGAAACUCAAAGGUAUGGUCGGGGGCCCGCCCCCGCAGUGGAGUAUGUGGUGUUUUUUGUAGCAACGCGAAGAGCCUUACCAGGUCUUGUCAUCGAGUGACGUAUCCCGAGAUGGAUAUUUCUUUCGGGGCGCACCCACAGGUGGUGCGUGGUUGUAGUCAGCUCGUAUAAUGUGAUGUUGGGGUAAGUCGCGCAACGAGAGCAACCCUUAUCAUUAGUUGUUACGCAAGAGCACUCUAAUGAGACUGCCGUUGACAAAACGGAGGGAGGUGGGGGGGGCGUCAAAUCAUCA
rnacentral:rRNA from 1 species